AUAUUGCAUUCCACUUUGGCACAACACAGGAGCAGAAAAUGAGAUAAGAAUUGCUUUGAUCAUCCUUUUCUCUGCUUCGCUCACUGCUUCUCUCAGGUUCAGAGAACGUGAAUCCCACACCAGGGUUAUUUCCUGAUCCAUUUAUUUUUAACCUUGGACACUCAAAUCCUUUAGGGUAAACUUACAAGGAAUCCAAAGACGGGUAUAAGGUGAAUGCUCUUUAACUAUUGCAGCAAUCCCAAAGCUGUUUCAUCCUCCUGAGAUGUGAAUUUCACUUUGUGGUCCAGGUGCACAACAAUGUGAAGCCAAUACUCACUCGUCUUUUCUACAUAGCUUAUAUCAUGGCAUAUACUUCCAUGUGUUUUAUUCUACUGCACAUCACUAAUGGGAAAAACUGUCACAACUGAAGAAGGAUUUGCAGAAACUAGCUGAUCAUUAAGUAGGUUCUGUUUGGAUGUUAAUCACUUUAGUGAGCAUGCAAAACAUCAAGCCUCAUGGAUUACAAGGAGAGAACAAUGCCUAGGCAUCUGGAUUCAGAGAGAUGGCCCCUUGCUCAGCUCUGUCAUUACUGAGAUCUAAAAAUGAGAAACUUUAUCACAAACAUUUACAUUAGUAAAGACUAGAUGGCUGCUCUUCUGGGGUGCUUAAGACUGUGACCCACAAUUCAGGAAUCUAAAUUUUAUUUAUGUGCUAUUUUAGAAACUGAUGGUUCUUUUUUCAUUGUAAAAGUGCUACUCAUCAUUUUAAACACCCAUCAGAGCCAAUAGGAACAUGAUACAAGCUUGCUCUGCCAUUGCCAAGCACAAGUCAUCAGCGAUGUGUUCAAAUGUCUUCUGAACUCAGUUUUUAUUUUUAUUAUCCUUUCCCUGGUUAUCAUUAUUACCCUGAUUUGUCUGGUUCCCAUGACAAAAUUCUUGGCACCUAAGAUUAAGUCUGUAUGGCAUUAUAAACCCAAGUGUAUCUUGUGUCUUUUUAUGUGUAUCUUUUAUCUAUCUUUUUAAUGUGUAACACAUAAUAGCAUCUCUAGGAUAAUACAAGUGGCAGUUUCACCACUGACUACCUUCCAGAUGGAAUAUAAAACAACUUGACUAAACAAGGAAUUUUUUUAUUAUUGAGGCAGCUUCUUUAUUCUCUGUAUGGAGAUUGUCAUCUCAAGAACUCUAACACCCAUUGGUACUUUCUGAUAGUUUUUAGGGGGUUAUCUUAGGGAGCUGAUAAAGUCACUAAAAAAACCUGUCCUCCCUUAACAGCUCCAAACUCUAAUACUUUAAACUGUGGUUUUUGGUUUUGGCUUGAGAUUUUUGGGUUUUUUUGGUUUGGUUUUUUGUUUGCUUUUUUAAUUAAAAACUCAUCAGAUUUACAAGCUGCAUUUCAGAUUUCUCAUUAGCAGCCACAAAGGGGCACAGCAGCCGGCACACUUUGCAACACUAAAAGAAACUUCCUUGAUGUCCUCAAAGGAAGCACCUUUUCAGAAGCUCUAACCCUGCACCUCUGCCCUACAAGAUUCUGAAGCUGAAGAAGAGCAGUUACGAAUCACAAGAAGAUAUCUGUGGUAUCAUUAAGUAUCAUCUGGAAAGCUCAUUCAACCCUAUACCUUAAUGCUAGAGUACUUCUGCAGAAAUGUUUCAGGCAUACUUUUGAUCAAACCCAGGCCAGCACUGGCUCUGAGGCUGGUCUGAGGAACAUGGAUAUGAAGUCCAGAUCAUUCCUUGACCUCAUGUGAAUUUGCUUCAUAUUCUAUCAAUUUGACCAUGCAGGGACUGAAAAGUGUACAUCUUCAAAAGACAUUAUUAUCCAGUUAAGGUUGCUCAGGAAACCCAUCAUCUUUGGUACUACAUAUUUUCUCUAGAGGCUGGACUUUUAAUUUUUUUUCCUUUUUGCUUGGUUUCUCUCAGCAAAAAUUCUCUGGACCAAGAAAUAUUUGCUUCAGGGAAUGCCUCUUUAAAGGUAUAUGCAGCUAAAUAUUCUCUCUUACUCAUAUUCCCUGCUAGGCAUUCCUCUGUUCAUUUUUUCUAACUAAAGGAUAUCACAUAUAUAUAUAAUGAAAAGUUCAGUGAUUAGAAUAUUUCCUAGGGAGGCACAGGAGAUGGGUUGAGAUCCAUUCUUUCUCUCCCUAAUGGACAUAAGAAGUCACAUUUCCUUUUCCUCUUUUUUUUUUUCCUUUUCUCAGAAUAAUGUUCUAAAUAAAGUAUAUCUGCAAUAUGGUAGUACAUUUAUUAUAUCUCUUUGCACUGUCUCACUUUUCUGAGUACUUGUUAGGCAAAAAGCAGCAUGUAGCAAGCUGGUAGAGCUCUCAUAUAGAAUGGGUGAAACCUGACUAUCUAUUAUGGUUUCUUCCCCAUAUUCUGUUUUUAUGAUACACCCAUUUCAACAACCGUUUAGCCAUUUUCCUUACAUUAAAUUAUUGAAACAUUCUUACUAACAAAUUAAACAAAUAAGCUUUCUAUUCAUUCAUAAACCAGUGUGCGACCACAACUGAAUUUCUUAGGUAACGUGAAGUAUUUUCUAUCUCUUUUUUUUCUGCUUUCUUUGCUGGUUAUAACCAGCUCCUUAUAAACACAUACACACACACACACACACACACACACAUAUAUAUAUGUAUGAAGUAUACUAC